rnacentral:rRNA from 1 species
AGGACGAACGCUGGCGGCGUGCUUAACGCAUGCAAGUCGAACGAGGUCCAUCCAGCUUGCUGGAGAAGACCGAGUGGCGAACGGGUGAGUAACACGUGAGGAACCCACCCCGAAGACCGGGAUAACCCUCCGAAAGGGGAGCUAAUACCGGAUGCCGUCGUCGGAUCGCAUGGUCUGACGACGAAAUGGAUUCCGCUUCGGGACGCCUCGCGGCCUAUCAGCUAGUUGGUGAGGUAACGGCCCACCAAGGCGUCGACGGGUAGCUGGUCUGAGAGGACGGUCAGCCACACUGGGACUGAGACACGGCCCAGACUCCGUACGGGAGGCAGCAGGCGGGAAUAUGGCGACAAGUGGGCGAAAGCCUAGACGCAGCAACGCCGCGUGAGGAUGAAGGCUCGUCGGGUUAGUAACCUCUUACGAGCGAGGACGAGUUGUGACGGUACC